AACGAACGCUGGCGGCAUGCCUAACACAUGCCAGUCGAACGAGACCUUCGGGUCUAGUGGCGCACGGGUGCGUAACGCGUGGGAACCUGCCCUUAGGUUCGGAAUAACUCCCCGAAAGGGGUGCUAAUACCGGAUAAUGUCUUCGGACCAAAGAUUUAUCGCCUUUGGAUGGGCCCGCGUUGGAUUAGCUAGUUGGUAGGGUAAAAGCCUACCAAGGCGACGAUCCAUAGCUGGUCUGAGAGGAUGAUCAGCCACACUGGAACUGAGACACGGCCCAGACUCCUACGGGAGGCAGCAGUGGGGAAUAUUGGACAAUGGGCGAAAGCCUGAUCCAGCAAUGCCGCGUGAGUGAUGAAGGCCUUAGGGUUGUAAAGCUCUUUUACCCGGGAUGAUAAUGACAGUACCGGGAGAAUAAGCUCCGGCUAACUCCGUG
rnacentral:rRNA from 1 species